rnacentral:lncRNA from 1 species
GGCAGUUGGGUGUUUCUUGGAAAGAUCACUCCCCGUUGCUUUUCCCAUCUUUGCUUUUCCCAUCCUUUGCUUUUCCCAUCCUUCGCUCCUCCAUCCGCGGCCGUUACCCCAGCCCUCGAGCACCAGAAAUAGAAACUCGGAGGCUGGCGUCGAGGCUAGACAUGGACUCCGCGCCUGGCCCCUUCCAGAUCCCAGUUUUCUAAAGUGACUUCGCACCAAAGUCCGAAAAGGGUGUGUGGAAUCGAUUUAAGUUUAACCUGACAGUACAUGUCUUGAAGGUCUUUUAUGAACUUGAAACACAUCGGCUAGGUCUUCAUCCUCACCUGCACUGGAAUUACCUACUUAAGAAAAACAAACUAAUGAUACACAAAGAAGCACUUAUGUAUGUAUUUAAACACUUGCUGGGAUCCUUCUGAAAACUACAGUUUGAAUUUUACGUUUCCGGUUUAGUUUAAAUUGUAUUGUUUACUUGUAUGUAUUAGCUUAAAUAAAAUAAUAGUCAUUUCAAAUGUUUCUCAGAGACAACAGGGUAAGUAAAAAAUAGUUGUGUUAUGACAUCUGUGAAUAUAAAAGUUAUUUGUGGCCCAUUAUAUUUUAUUUUUCAAGUUCAAACGUAUUUCAAAUAUGAAACGCAUUAUCAUAAUCUCCAUAUUGAUUAGUUGUCCAAGUUGAAAAGUGUUUACAAUUUUAAUUUUUUCCAGAUGAUUAUUACUCUGUUUUCAGGCUAUAAAUUUCAUCUCAUGUAAUUUUCUUUGUAGAACUUUGACAUAGCAGUUAACAUCAAGUGGUUGUACUACAAUUUUUGCUUAUUUUGUUUUUCAACUGCAUUGGGUCCUGUUAUAAGUGCAUAUACAUCUGGAAUGCUUCCAUCUUUAAAUUAAAAGCACUUUAUCACAUCUGAAGGUUCUCUGCAGAGAGUCACUUUCUGACUGCUUAGGAACUUGAUAAGCCAAAUAGUAUUCCAUCACUGUAGGUAAACAGUUCUGGGAAAGAAAAAUCUACAGUCUUUGACAAUUCUUCCUGUCAAUUGUUUGUACCUCAUUCUAGAAAUUACAUAUCUUCAUGCCGGAAACACUAUUUGGAUGCGUGUGGAUGAUUCUGAAAAUUGAUAUAGUCUGAAGGAUGUAUAUGUACAUUUAUAUAUAGA